CUUAAUAUAGUAUAAUUAUUACAUUAUCCUUUCACGAUAAAAAGGGGUAGUUUCUACCCUAUUAAGA
rnacentral:tRNA from 1 species